rnacentral:rRNA from 1 species
GACGAACGCUGGCGGCGCGCUUAACACAUGCAAGUCGAGCGAGAACCAGGGCUUCGGCCCUGGGGAAAGCGGCGAACGGGUGAGUAACACGUGAGUAACCUGUCCUCGGCACCGGGGAUAGCCCGGGGAAACCCGGAUUAAUACCGGAUGGCCUUUCGAGUCUUCGGGCUCGUCAGAAAAGGGAGCUUCGGCCUCCGGCCGAGGAGGGACUCGCGGCGGAUUAGCUUGUUGGUGGGGUAACGGCUCACCAAGGCGACGAUCCGUAGCUGGUCUAAGAGGACGAUCAGCCACACUGGGACUGAGACACGGCCCAGACUCCUACGGGAGGCAGCAGUGGGGAAUCUUGCGCAAUGGGCGAAAGCCUGACGCAGCGACGCCGCGUGCGGGAAGAAGGCCUCGGUGUAACG